rnacentral:rRNA from 1 species
AAUAUUGCACAAUGGAGGAAACUCUGAUGCAGCGACGCCGCGUGAGUGAAGAAGGCCNNNGGAUCNUAAGACUUGGUCCUUGGNGACNAUAAUGACGGUAGCCAAGGAGGAAGCCCCGGCUAACUACGUGCCAGCAGCCGCGGUAAUACGUAGGGGGCUAGCGUUGUCCGGAUUUACUGGGCGUAAAGGGUGAGUAGGCGGUUGCAUAAGUCAGAUGUGAAAGCCCACGGCUUAACCGUGGGACUGCAUUUGAAACUGGAGGGCUUGAGUAUCGGGGAGGGUAGUGGAAUUCCCAGUGUGGCGGUGGAAUGCGUAGAUAUUGGGAGGAACACCAGUGGCGAAGGCGACUACCUGGACGAAAACUGACGCUGGGGCACGAAAGCUAGGGGAGCAAACA